rnacentral:rRNA from 1 species
UCGGAGAGUUCCCUUCGGGGACAUUGGUGACAGGUGGUGCAUGGUUGUCGUCAGCUCGUGUCGUGAGAUGUUGGGUUAAGUCCCGCAACGAGCGCAACCCUUGUCUUUAGUUGCCAUCAUUAAGUUGGGCACUCUAGAGAGACUGCCAGGGAUAACCUGGAGGAAGGUGGGGAUGACGUCAAAUCAUCAUGCCCCUUAUGCUUAGGGCUACACACGUGCUACAAUGGGUAGUACAGAGGGUUGCCAAGCCGUAAGGUGGAGCUAAUCCCUUAAAGCUACUCUCAGUUCGGAUUGUAGGCUGAAACUCGCCUACAUGAGGCUGGAGUUACUAGUAAUCGCAGAUCAGAAUGCUGCGGUGAAUGCGUUCCCGGGUCUUGUACACACCGCCCGUCACACCACGGGAGUUGGAGACGCCCGAAGCCGAUUAUCUAACCUUUUGGAAGAAGUCGUCGAAGGUGGAAUCAAUAACUGGGGUGAAGUCGUAACAAGGUAGCCGUAUCGG